UCAUCACACAGACACACAUUAAGACGAGGAGCUUGAUGAAAAAUGAUAUAAAAAGGAAAACAGACUGUCACCAUUCUAACAGUCAGGUGAUAAAAUAUCCUUCUAGUUCAGGGGGGGACAAAGAUCACCAGGAAAUAGUCCCAUCAUUGACCACAACCAAAAGGACAAAUAAAUGUAGAGACUGAACAGUACUGGGAUAGUACUGUUACGACUCCAUGAGCUCUUCCCUCCUUCCUGUACUGUUACGACUCCAUGAGCUCUUCCCUCCUUCCUGUACUGUUACGACUCCAUGAGCUCUUCCCUCCUUCCUGUACUGUUACGACUCCAUGAGCUCUUCCCUCCUUCCUGUACUGUUACGACUCCAUGAGCUCUUCCCUCCUUCCUGUACUGUUACGACUCCAUGAGCUCUUCCUCCUUCCAGAAACGGCUGUAGACCAACGAGGAAGACCCACAUGGAACUGGACUUUUUGGGGGUGAAUCUCCCGUUGACUUCAAAGCUUGACUUGUUAUGCUAAAGUCCAAGAGAGAAAUUAGUCCAGGAAGACUCCCCCAGUCAGUCAGGUAGGAGGAGUCUAUCCAUUACAUCAGUCAUGUAGGAGGAGUCUAUCCAUUACAUCAGUCCAGGAAGACUCCCCCAGUCAGUCAGGUGGGAGGAGUCUAUCCAUUACAUCAGUCAUGUAGGAGGAGUCUAUCCAUUACAUCAGUCCAGGAAGACUCCCCCCCAGUCAGUCAGGUAGGAGGAGUCUAUCCAUUACAUCAGUCCAGGAAGACUCCCCCAGUCAGUCAGGUAGGAGGAGUCUAUCCAUUACAUCAGUCCAGGAAGACUCCCCCAGUCAGUCAGGUAGGAGGAGUCUAUCCAUUACAUCAGUCCAGGAAGACUCCCCCAGUCAGUCAGGUAGGAGGAGUCUAUCCAUUACAUCAGUCCAGGAAGACUCCCCCCAGUCAGUCAGGUAGGAGGAGUCUAUCCAUUACAUCAGUCCAGGAAGACUCCCCGAGUCAGUCAGGUAGGAGGAGGGCGUAGUGGUGAAACCCCAUCAAAGCCAGUUCAGCACAGCAGCAAUGGAGGACAGUGGUGAGUAUGUAUGAGACAGUAUGGAUGCACAUGUGUGUUCCUUACAAUACGUUCUUGUGUCUCUGUAUACUGUUGAUGGAUAAAGUUCUCCACAUCCUGCUGUGUGUGUGUGUGUGUGUGUGUGUGUGUGUGUACUACAUAUGAAUGGAUGUCUAUGUCCCUGUUAGUCCAUGUCUCAGGCCACAGUCUGUCCUCUGUGGGGG
ensembl:lncRNA